rnacentral:lncRNA from 1 species
UUUGCACUAGAUGUAGAGACAUUAAUGUUGAUGCUAUUCAUGAUCACCUAGCUUUAAUUAAGAAACAAAAUGAUCACAUAGCUCAACUUAAUGCCAAAAUUAAUGAGCAUGACUUAGAAAAUGAAAAUUUUAAAUUUGCUAGAAGCAUGCUCUAUAGUGGGAGACGCCCUGGCAUCAAGGAUGGCAUUGGCUUCCAAAAGGGGGACAAUGUCAAACUUAAUGCCCCUCCUAAAUGUCACACCCGGUUUUGGAAGGUAAACCGAAUGCGAACCAUGUACGUGCCAGGAUCAGAAAUUCACGUACACGGCGAUUACAUAAAUGACUCAUCAUAGCACGAUGCUUCGAAUAACAAUAAAGAGUAAGUAAUAAUAUGAAAGACUAGAGUCAUUUACAUAAUAUAAUCAAAGUACACAGAAUAGAAACGUAGCCAACGUAAAUUAACCCACCACAGGCAGCUGACUGGGGAAGGUCGCUAGCCUAAUCCUCGAACUCAUCGAAGUCCUGGAACUCCUGGAGAUCCGCCUCGACGCUUCUUCUUUACCUGAGCAUAGAUUGCACCAAAGGCAACCUGGUGUUUUGUGAAAGCAAGGGUGAGUACACAUCAACGUACUCAGCAAAUGUCCCGUUUGGCUGAAGUGGACUAGCUUUAUGUGGGGUUAAGGUCAAAGCAGUUGCUUUUAGUUAGUCAGGUAUUUAUUAUUAAUGGAAGCCAAGUUUUAUCAUAUAACCAACCCGUGAACCAUUUCCUCAUCGAGGAAACACCAUUAUCAUCAUCGAACCAGAAUAAUAAAUAGAACCAUUGUGUCUCAGAUCAUUUGUAUCUCUAAUCAAAGAGGAUCUCAAGGCCGCUCAUAACCGUGAGCACGGCUGAUAUAUCAGUUUCUAACCCUCUGCAGAGGUCGCACACUUUACCCAUGAGCCGUGAUUCCCGUUUUGCCCAGGGAUCAUGACUCCCCAUUGAUCACUUCCUAGGUGGUCCGGCAGGGUAUCACUACGUAGCCUUUACAAAGAUUCCCUAGAGGUCAUAGCCGCCCGUUAGGUUUCUCCAGUUUGAUAAACACAGCACUCCUCCCCGCAGGAGGGUGACUAACAAAAGCAAAACGAAAGAACCUCGGCACCCAGCCUCGGUAGAGCAAGCACUGUGCCUGGACCCCAUUGACGGCACGACGGCGAAGCAACUACACCUCUAGUUCCUCUAAUUAAUUAGCUAAGGGCAUCCCAUUUCACCCUCAUGGUUGCACUGUUAUCCCGGGUGGUCUCUCAACGAACAGGUCCUUACGGAGAGGUACUCGGGAAACAGCCCGAGUCCCCUUAAAUGCCACGAGUAUAUCAUCAUAUCGAGAAUAAAAUCGUAGUAUCAUCAUUGUAUCUCAUCAUGUUCAUUGAUUAAAGUAAAGCGCUAGCAUGUAGCUAACCAUAGUAACCCAAAAGGUAAAUCAAGGACAAGGUAAAUAGAAAGCUAGUAAAUCCUUAGGUUUCAAUUAAGUAGUGCGGGACAGUGAAUUAUAAACAGAUAGGACAUAAUGGGUCAGAGGACACUUGCCUUCACCAAACUGAUGCUCAGGUCUUCAAUCUCGUGGAACUCAAAGAACUGGAUCACUUGGUUGCCCACGCUUGAUCUUUGAUUCCUCGAAGCUCGAAAACGGAUCGCAAUCUAUUCGCGACGCAAAGCGAAGACAAACAGGCACAAGCAAACAAAUAUAUAUAUGCAUAAGAACAUUACACCAUACAAGAUAAAACAUUAUAGAAACGAGCAAUAUAAAAUAGAGAGCGCUUCUACGGUUACGCGAGGAUAAGAAACACGACGGUCAAGCUACAGUCGAGAAGUUAUCGCGUUUACGUUAAACAAAUAUUAACUAUAAUGUUUUAAUUUGACAAUAUCAAAUAUAAAUAAUUUCUACCAUUUAGUUUCGAUUAAUCUGCUACACUAACAGCUAUCAGUUAAAUAAGUAAUUUAAUUAAAACGAGAGAUUCUAAGUGAGGCGAAUCUAGGACGUGCGAAACAACACGACAGCGCGCGAACGAUGCGGGCACACACGCGACAUAGCACACGAACGACGCACAAGACAGCGCGCGCGACUAGCACGAACGACGCGCGAAACAGCACGCCACUGCGUGCUGAACAACACGCGCGACAGAGCGCGCGGACGACGCACGAACACACGUGACACUCGCGAACGACACGCGACAACGCGUGUGAACGGCACGCGCGACACACGCAAAACAACGUGCACGACAGUGCGCGACACACGAGCCAACGCGACUACGCGAACGACGUCGCGCGAACAGCUUGACGACGCGCAAACGAUGCUGCAGGCGAACAACACAACUACGAGCACAACAAACAAUUAAUUAAACAAAAGUACUUAAACUAAUAUUAAAUAAGUUAAUUAACAUUUAUAUUUAUAAAAGCACGAGUUAAAAUUAUAGACCCGUUAUAAUUAAAUUGUCAUUAUAAAUAAUCCCGACAACUAAACAAGAAUGGACCAAUCAGCGCGAGCGACUAUAACAAAAAUAAUUGAAUAACGUGUGGACAUCGUGAAACAGCGCACGAGGGCGACAGCUACAACGGCGCACGACAGCUCGCUCGACCGAGCGAGGGCACCCGGCAAGCACAACACGAUGACAUAGCGCGCGCAGAGCGGGCAACGGCGAGGCGAGCGGCGCGAAUGCGCGCACGCAGGGGGUAGACGAACGAGUUCUAGGGGGUAGAUGGAGGGGUAGCCAGACGCCAUCAGAGUCCCGACGACAUGCCACGUAUAUGUGAAAGCGAGUGCGCGCUAGCUGCGAGGAGGUGUUUUGGGGCUGUUGCGCACACGGUUCGGCAAAUUGCGUCGCGCGGGGGGGGGCAUGCAUAGGGGUAGACGCCUGCUGCCCAUCUCGACGAGCGAGGAUACGGGUAUGGCUCGACGACGAACGACGCGCACAGAGGCUGGGUUGAGGGCGCGCAGGACACGACGCAACGACGUGUGGGGGACACUUGGCCGUGCUGGCUGCGAGGAACUCAUGUGAGGGGGGAUCGACAGGGGGAGUUUGCACCACGGCCAUGCUGGGACAGACUGCGCAACGGCAGCGGCUCGCCGUGGCGGCCGGACGGGCAUGGAGCGAGGGUGGCCAGGCGGGCUGCUCACGCGAGGAGGCUCCGGCUGCACGUCGGCCUGCUAUUAGCUACGCGUUGAUAGGAAAGAGAAGCGAGAGGAGAGAGGGAGAAGAAGAGGAGCUCACCUCAUGCUCGCAACGUCGGCCGGCGGUGCUGCGAAUCGGCACGAACAGCAGUGGCGAGCGUGCAGGGAGCGGCGACUGGGCAGCGCGCGCUAGGGGCGGCGGCUGGGCGAGCGUGCGCUAGGGUUCGCGCUGCGCGCGCGAGUGGCUGUGCAGCGGCUGGGCGAGCGGCGCGCGCUGGGCUGGGGCGCGGAGGCAGCAGCUGGCGCGCGGCUGGGCCACGAAAGCAGGCCGGGGUGGGGGUGCACCUGGGCCGUUCGUGAAGGACGAGCUGGGCCGAGUGAUUUGAG